rnacentral:lncRNA from 1 species
UGCUAGUUUUUAUAUUAAUAUAAUAAUAUAAUUUAAAAAUAAUCAAUAAAUAAUAUCAGAGUGAAAACAUAACUCUUGAAAACUCAUUUAAAGCAUCCAAUAUAUCUCAAAUUGUUAUAUAUUCAUAUAAUAUACAUCAUAUAUCAUCACAAAUAGGGAUGUAAUCAAGCUGAGUCGAGUAGCUGAAAGUUCAAACUUGACUCAACUCAAAAUAUUCGAGUUUGAAACUCGACUUGAGAUC